rnacentral:lncRNA from 1 species
UCAUGAUGAGCAUCAUUGCGAUGAAACUGGUCUUCAUCUGGUUCCUCCAACGCUCCCUCCUCUCUCCCGCUAGAUAGCGCGCGUAUCUAGCUUACGCCUCCGCCCUAGUGGUGUACCCUUUGUAACUGUUACCGCUGAAACGGUGAACCUGUCUCCGACACUCCUCCCAGUCGUCGUAGACUCCGGGAGCCUUACCCUUGUACACGACAUAUGACGGCAUCUCUAUGCACUAGACAAACAAAACGUUAGUAGCAAUUCACAGAUAAUAUAUAAGCAAUAUAUAAGUAUGCAACAAAAGGAUCGAAAGAGAAAAGCAACACAUUAAUAGCACGAUUCAUGGUCCUACUAAUAAAUAGCAUCGAUUACAUAUAAGUUGAACGACUGUCCAAAGUAAAGAGACAUACAAGUUCAUUAAAGUUUAAUUACAACAUGAGAUAAUCGAUAUUUCAGAACUACAUAGCAUCAAUACUUUUGACUCGACUCAGGGACCGGAGCGUGGAUGAAGCCGCCGUCUAUCGUGAUGGUCAUGAAUGUGCGGUCGUUGUCAGCCUGUAUUUCUAGCGUUGUAUCUAUUUCACUGUUGGACAGUUGAUAUUUGAGGUAGAACUGCCCCGAGGUACGAAGGACAUCUUGAAAGAUGAUUUCCGCAAACUCUGACUGGAUGCGAAAGAAUUCUUGUCUGAUGUCCGCCUCCUGGAUUGCCGACAAGCGUGCGGCCCAGUCUUUGAGAUUAUUUGGUAGCAUAAGGUGAUUAUGGUCACGUACGAUCGCCCGCAUGUGAUGGAGGGUGUAGUAGGUAUCCUUCCGACUGCCAGGCGGCUGCUUGACGCAGGGGAACGUCGUCACGUGGGUGAACACGUGCUUGUCGUACCUACAAAUUGGCCUCCUAAAGGUGCCUCCAGAUUUGGCGUAGCCGGGGAGAGCAUCAUCAAGAACUUUCUUGAUCUUUGUGUAGUCUUUCUUCGACUAAUGGUCCGAGUCAAAAUACGUGGCCAUGGAAUAUUUCGGGCUUAAGAGGAUGAGUGUGCAAUGUGUGUCACAGCACAAAACACGGAAUGUUAGGGAAAAAAAGAACGAUCAAAAUCUAAGAAAUCAUAUGUUACGGGGCGGUGAGGGGAUGACUUACUCGAAAAAGUAAGGCACGAGGAAGUUAUCCUUAUCUGGGUUCGCCAGAAUGACGCCUUCGAGGUAUGAACUCGCGACUUGCCGGUCCCCAGCGCUGCCCAAGAUCUUGGCACACAUGUAGAAGGGGUCAACUAUCACGAUGUCUGGGGUCUUGUCUCUAAUGAUCCGCAUCUCCAUACUGAGCGAUAAUAGCCGAAUGAAGGUGUAGUGCAGCGGAUGAAGGUUAAACAUAGCAUAGAUGUCAUCAAACCGCAGGACGAUCAUACACCCGAUGGUGCUAUCGACAAAGCCCUUGCCCUCUAGCACCUUGGCCACAAAAACCAGGUAUGCCACAUCAUUCUCGGAGAGACACCGCUUCUCCAUAGAAAGAACACAGUCAUGCAGACUCCGCAUAGCACCGGUUGCAGCAUUGAGCAGAUUAGUUGGUAGCAUCGGCCUACCCGCCACAUGCACCUUCCUCGAGAUACCUUAGAUAUUGGUGGCCCGUCCUGAGCACGGAUCGUACUCGGUGUCGGCUGGCUCGCACCCUUGUUAUUUUUUCUUUUCCUUCCCUUCUGCUUCUUCUGUUGUAAUGGGAUCGAGUUAUGCUCAGAGACUGCCUUCUUGAGUGUGUUGGGGCUGAUAAUAUUUCGCAGCUCAGCUAUUUGAGUCUCGGUGAAGGCGGCAGCUAGAGGCGUCUCUUGAGAACUAAACGCCAGACGACGCUUGUUGCAAUUGGGUUUCUCCAUGGUACCAGCUAGAUCGCGAUCGUUCUUGAGAAAGAGGCCCCAAGAAUUCGUCAUCAUACCCAUGUUCAUUGAAGUACUUAUCAACAUUGGAAAAUGUACCAUCAUUGUUGUCUGGAUCCUGUGCCAUAUGCAUGUCCGGAUCAGCUGACGGCGGUAGCAUUGCGGCGGUCUUGCCAUGGCUUGGCGCCGGCACGACUGGCGGUGUUGUCUGUGGGGUGGUGUCCCCCGUCCCCAAACGAAUCUGGCUCUUCGGCCAAAGCAGGGGCCAACUUAAGCAGGCGCUAAGGGUCAUUACAUCAUCUUCGUUGGCCCUAGGGGGUCGAAACGGAGGUAACAGGUCGUCGCAGCCCCGCAGCACCCAAACCAGUUGAACCCUAUACAUGGUGGGUGGCAUCGGAUUACCGUGGAACACGCGGUUGCCCGGUUGAACGAUUCUGGCCUUGGCAACAUCGAUCAACUCACUGUCCAUGAAAUGCAGGAGAGUGCAUGGAACGUCGGCUGCGCCCUGCGAAACAUGUAGGCCAUCAGGGACGCCUAGUCAAAGGCAAGAGGAUGAAGUCAUCAGCCGAGGCAUAGUUACCGUGAUGGCGUCGAGCUUGGCUAAUGUCGAGGCACCGCCAACGACGGGCAUGCAAGUGACGGAGGGGCCGCUUGCUGCUGAUACGUCUCUAACGUAUCUAUAAUUUUUGAUUGUUCCAUGCUAUUAUAUUACCCCUUUUGGAUGUUUAUUGGCUUUAUUUUACAUAUUUAUAUCAUUUUUGGGACUAACCUACUAACCGGAGGCCCAGCCCGUAUUGUUGUUUUUUUUUGCCUAUUUCAGUACUUCGAAGAAAAGUAAUAUCAAACGGAGUCCAAACGGAAUGAAACCUUCGGGAGCGUGAUUUUUGGAACGAACCUGAUCCAGAGGACUUGGAGUGCAAGUCAAGAAGCAAUCGAGGCAGCCAGGAGAUAGGAGGGCGCGCCCACCCCUCCUGGGCACGCCCCCUGUCUCCUGGCCCCUCGAGCGGCCACCGACGUACUGCUUCCUCUUAUAUAUACCUACGUACCCCAAAAACAUCCAGGGAGCCAACGAAAAACAAUUUCCACCACCGUAACCUUCUGUAUCCGCGAGAUCCCAUCUUGGAGCCUUCGUCGGCGCUCCACCGGAGGGGGAAUCAACCACGGAUGGCUUCUACAUCAACACCAUAGCCCCUCCGUUGAGUUGUGAGUAGUUUACCACAGACCUUCGGGUCCAUAGUUAUUAGCUAGAUGGCUUCUUCUCUCUUUUGGGAUCUCAAUACCAUGUUCUCCCCCUCUCUUGUGGAGAUCUAUUCGAUGUAACUCUUUUUGUGGUGUGUUUGUCGAGAUCCGAUGAAUUGUGGGUUUAUGAUCAAGUUUAUCUAUGAGAAAUAUUUGAAUCUUCUCUGAAUUCUUUUAUGUAUGAUUGAGUUAUCUUUGCAAGUCUCUUCAAAUUAUCAGUUUGGUUUGGCCUACUAGAUUGAUCUUUCUUGCCAUGGGAGAAGUGCUUAGCUUUGGGUUCAAUCUCACGGUGUCCUUACCCAGCGACAGAAAGGGUUGCAAGGCACGUAUUGUAUUGUUGCCAUCGAGGAUAAAAAGAUGGGGUUUAUAUCAUAUUGCUUGAGUUUAUCCCUCUACAUCAUGUCAUAUGUGUUACUCUGUUCUUAUGAACUUAAUACUCUAGAUGCAUGCUAGAUAGCGGUUGAUGUGUGGAGUAAUAGUAGUAGAUGCAGGCAGGAGUCGGUCUACUUGUCACGGACGUGAUGCCUAUAUACAUGAUCAUGCCUAGAUAAUCCCAUAAUUAAUCUCUUUUCUAUCAAUUGCUCGAUAGUAAUUUGUUCACCCACCGUAAUACUUAUGUUAUCUUGAGAGAAGCCCCUAGUGAAACCUAUGGCCCCCGGGUCUAUCUUUAUCAUAUAAGCUUUCAAUCUACUUUUAUUUGCAUCUUUACUUUUUGCAUCUAUAUUAUAAAAUACCAAAAAUAUAUUUAUCUUAUCAUACUAUCUCUAUCAGAUCUCACUUUCGCAAGUGGCCGUGAAGGGAUUGACAACCCCUUUUAUUGCGUUGGUUGUGAGUUCUUUGUUUGUUUGUGUAGGUGCGUGGGACUUUUGAGGAGCCUCCUACUGGAUUGAUACCUUGGUUCUCAAAAACUGAGGGAAAUACUUACAAUACUUUGCUGCAUCACCCUUUUCUCUUCAAGGAAAACCAACGCAAGCUCAAGACGUAGCAAGAAGGAUUCCUGGCACCGUUGCCAGGGAGGUCUUUGCUCAAGUCAAUACAUACCAAGUACCCAUCACAAACUCAUAUGCCUCGCAUUUAUAUUAUUUGCCAUUUGCCUCUCGUUUUCCUCUCCCCCACUUCACCCUUGCUGUUUUAUUCGCCCUCUCUUUACCAAUCUUUUCCUCUCUUUUUCGCUUGCCUUUUUCUGUUCGCAUGUGUGUUGGAUUACUUGUUGCCAUGGCGCAAGAUAAUACCAAAUCGUGUGAUUUCUCCAAUACCAAAAAUAAUGAUUUCCUUAGUACUCCGAUUCCUCCUCUUAAUGAUGUUGAGUCUUGUGAAAUCAAUACAGCUUUGCUGAAUCUUGUUAUGAAAGAUCAAUUCGCCGGCCUUCCUAGUGAAGAUGUCGCUACUCAUCUAAACAACUUUGUUGAUUUGUGUGAUAUGCAAAAGAAGAAAGAUACGGAUAAUGAUAUUGUUAAAUUGAAGUUAUUUCCGUUUUCACUUAGAGAUCGUGCUAAAGUUUGGUUUUCGUCUUUGCCUAAAAAUAGUAUUGAUUCUUGGAACAAGUGCAAAGAUGUUUUUAUCUCUAAGUAUUUUCCUCCCGCUAAGAUUAUCACUCUUAGGAAUGAUAUUAUGAAUUUUAAACAACUUGAUCAUGAGCAUGGUGCCCAAUCUUGGGAAAGAAUGAAAUUGAUGAUUCGCAAUUGCCCUACUCAUGGUUUGAAUUAAUGGAUGAUCAUACAAAAAUUUUAUGCCGGUUUGAACUUUGCUUCUAGAAAUCUUUUAGAUUCGGUCGCUGGAGGUAUGUUUAUGGAAAUCACGUUAGGAGAUGCUACAAAACUUCUCGAUAAUAUUAUGGCUAAUUAUUCUCAAUGGCACACCGAAAGAUCUUCUAGUAAAAAAGUGCAUGCUAUAGAAGAAAUAAAUGUUUUGAAUGGAAAGAAGGAUGAACUUAUGAAGUUGUUUGCUACUAAAAAUACUCCUCUUGAUCCCAAUGAUAUGCCUUUGUCUACUUUGAUUGAGAAUAAUAAUGAAUCUAUGGAUAUGAAUUUUGUUGGUAGGAAUAGUUUUGGAAACAAUGCUUAUAAAGGAAACUUUAAUUCUAGACCUGUCAUGGUGGGUGCACGGCAGUUGCCAAGGGAUGGCUAAAGAGAGGAGGAGGCUCGAGGGCGCUGGUGGACUCCAGAAGCGAGGUUGGCAUGAGCGGGCGUGGGACGCCGGACAUACCCAGGUUCAGGGCUCUCCGAAGAGAUAAUACCCCUAGUCCUGCCGACUGUAGUUGGAUGAUCGAUAGUACAAUGUUGCUCCUGGAGCUGUAUGUAGGAGGAAGGAAGCUGGCCAAGGCUUGGGCUGCUCCUUCUCUCCGGUGUUGCUGUUUGGUGGCUAGUCCUAUGCUUACUUGCUUUCCUUCUGUAUCUGUUGCUUGCCUUGCUUGCCCGUAUAAUCGUGCGCUCCCGGGGGGUUUUAUAGACCAACCCCCCGGGGGUACAAUGGUAAUGUUAAAAGUUGGUGGGUCCGUAUUGUCGGUGUCCGGGGACCCGGGCUGGGUCCCGCUGAGGGCUUGUGGUUCGUCGGGUUCCCCUAGCUGCGGGCCCUGCGUGCCUAGGGGGACUGUGCGCCGUCUUGUCAAUCGUCGGGGCAUGGCCGAGUCGAGUCACGUACAGUGCUCUCCGUCAGGUUGCCGCUUGCUGUCGUCAGCGGUGAGGGAGGGGGCGCAGUAGCCACGUCGGCCCUGGUCAGCGGGUAGGUGAGGGGCACUGUUGCCACGUUCCUGCUGACCAGAGGCAUGGGCAGGGCACUAUUGCCUCGGUCAUCGUUGAUUGAAGACUCGUCCCCAUCGUACGGCCUGAAUGGGAUGGGAGCUGACCCGCGGCUGCAUUGCGUAGCACGCCACUGGUGGCGCUGGCUUGUUGAGGAAGCUUCGGUCAUGCCGGGUUUGGCUGUCUUGCGCUAGUCGUUGGGGACGAGUCGACGUGUCUUACCGGGUCGGCGAGUCUGGCCGGCUUGCGGGGCUUGGCCGAGUCGAGCGACCCAGCUAAGAGCAUGCCUAUUUUGAGGAGCGGUGUCAGCCCCGUUGUUUUUGAAGAGGAUCCGGGUUCCGUUGCCUGCCCGGGGUCCAUCCCCCCGACAGUAGUCCCCGAAGCUGUGAAGUUCCGCCGUCUUCGGAUGAGUGGGCCUUUGCAGUUUCCCCCUUAAGCAAGGCGGAGUCUGUGAGCGCCGGGUCCGGCAACACCCACUGUGUGCCGGUUAUCUUGGAAACCGGAUCGCGGCAUCCCGGUCGUGGCGGGAACCGAGGAGUCCGUCAAAUCUUGGGGCAAUCCCUCGGGCUUUGCGCGGGCGCCACGUGGUGCCCGGAAGUCGGUGGGGCCUGAUAGGCCAAGCGCGUGACGGGACUAGGCAACGGGCUGGGGGCCGCCACCGCGCACCCUCGGCCCAUGCGCGCGGAUUUAUUGUGGUGUCCGGGGGCCGGUUGCUCUUCCCUGGGUAGUUACUGCGCAUGUACGCACGCACUUAUUGCGUGGUAGUGGAACGGGUGCGUGCAGACGAUCCCACUUCCCCAUGUUCAAACCGAGGGUUAUAAAUCGGGGGGCAGGGGGGCGGCGGACAUUAUUCUUGCUCGCGCCCUCCUGUCCCUUUGCUCUCGCUCCGCUCUUUGCAACUGACGCACUGCGGCGCCCGCUGCUCCGAGCAGAACUCCUUCGCCGUCCAUCUUCUUUCUUCUUCCUUUGAUCAUGGCGCUGCCAUCAGGCUCCUGGAUGGGUUUGAAUGUCACCACCGAGGACAUCACCCAACUCCGAGUGACGCGGCGCCUGCCACGGGAGACGGAUGUCGGCGUCCGCUGCCGCGCGGUGAGCAGAGGCCUCGGCCAGAGGGGCAGGAGCGCGUGGUCUUCCUCAUGCACUUCGAGCGCGGGUUUGGGCUGCCGGCGAGCACCUUUUUCCACGCGUUCCUGAGUUCUUCGGGCUCCAGCCGCAUCAUCUUGGUGCCGGCGCCAUCGUCCAGCUCUCCGGCUUCGUCACCCUCUACGAGGGGUACCUGGGGGUCGAGCCCUCGAUCGACCUCUGGGCGCACUUCUUCUCCUUGAAGCAGUAGGGCCCGUCGGCCGAGGAGUUCGCCGAUUGCGGCACCGCCGUCAUCUCGAAGUGGUUGGGGGCGGAUUUCCCCAAGAUCCCGCUGGAGGAUUCUGCCAAGAAGUGGCAGAACUCCUUCUUCUACGUCCGCAACCACGGUGCUGAUCGCAUCAACCUUCCAGCCUUCGCCAUCGCGCCGCCGCGGGCGAAGACGAACUGAGGCUACUCGCCCAGGUGCCCGUCGUAGGAGAUCGUCAAUCUCUGCGAGCGGGUGACGGUGAUGAGGACGCAGGAGGGGCUCACCAGCACCGACCUCCUCGCCGCGUUCAUCAUGCGUCGGGUCCUUCCGCUUCAGGGGCGCUCCUGCCUCCUUGGCGAAAUGGUCGGCCUUCAAGACCCCAACCAUCAGGGGUCGAUGCGGCUGUCCGCGGAGCAGAUCGCGCGCGGCGUGAAUGACAUCUCCAAGGCCAACCUUGGAGAGGACUGGCGGUUUGGCAAGGCGCCGUACAGAAAGUCGAACCUGGAGCCGUAGGUGAGUGUCUGGUCUCCUUACUUUGCUGCUGCGCACCUCCUCAUCCGUCCUGACACGACGCAGGAGGUACUUCUGAACGCGAUUCGGCAACCAUACGCCCGGGCUCCGUCGCAGGUGGCGCCGGUGGCGCUAGAGGAGCCCGCGGCUCAUGGCGGGGAGGGGGAGGCCGAGUCCGAUGCCGGCAUUGGGCGUCGCGCGGGUAAGUCUCGUAUCUUUCUUCAUAUGUUUCGAAUUGCUGACUGCGGUAUGGAACGGUCGGUGCUGACGCCAGUUGUUGGUGCAGUGGCGUUGGGCGGCGGAGGCGGCGAUGCAGGCGUAGUCGGGUCCUCGCAUGGAGCCGCCCGCAUGGGAAAGACAGUGUCACGCCGCAACCCUGGGCCCCGAAGCGCACGGCGGACCCAGCCGGGGCCGGGAGGCCGGCCAAGAGGAAGCGCGGCGGCGGGCAUGGGAGGCCAACCCCGGUCCCGGUCUUGUCGGGGUAAGCUUCAUCUCUCGUUUGCGCCCGGAUUAUUUGAGCUAGUCUUGUUUCUUUUCUGCUCAUUCUGUCUUCUUCUUCAGGUCACUAAUCGCACUGGCAAGGGCGGUGGCGGAAGCCGCGAACGCUGAAGGGGUCGUGUUCCGCAGGAGCCGGUCCGACCUCGCCGACCAGGCCGAGGUGGAGGGAUGGGCCGUCUCGGACCUCGGCCUGGACCCGAACGACGCCGAAGCCUUGGCCUGGCGGGACAGGAACCGGGCCGAGGCGGAGCUAGGGGCGGCGUCGGUCCGUGCUUGGACCGACGCGACGGCAGCAUCGGCGCAAGCCGGUGCGGAGCCGGCUUGGCGCGAGAUGCCGGAGGGCACGUUGGUGGCGGCGACGGACUUUGAGCCGUCAUCGGUGAGGGAGCACGGCCGUGGAGGCCGGGAUGAGGUGGUGAUCCUCGACCGGGAGGUCGUGGAGGUGGCGGAUGACACCCCGCCACGGGCCGACGUGGCCGAGCGAGCGGGGGCUGAUGGUGGUGGAGGCGGCGGCAUCUUGGAAGAGGCGCUGCGGGCGGCGGUGCCGGAGGCGCCACCAGUUUUGGAGGAGGCACCGCGGGCGGCGGUGCCGGAGGCCACCCCGGCAGCUGGGCCGGUGGUGGUGCAGCAGGCCGUCCUGGCAUCCGGACCGGAGGCGGCGACGCAGGGCGUCCCGGCGUCCGGGUCGUUGUCAGUGCCGGGAGGGGCGUUGGAGGAGGUGCUGGCCGCGUCAUGAGCGGCCAGCGGGGAACGCGCCUUGGUGCCCCGGCAGGGAGGGCGCCGAGCUGCCGUGCCGCAGUCGGCGCAGAGCGGGGGCGUCGUUGCCUUCGGGCCUCAGACCCAGGAGGAGGCGGCGCUGGACGCCGUCAGUCCCCGCCUGCGAGGCCGGACGGAACGGCUCGAGGCCUUCGCCCAGGCCGAGGUGGAGCGGACGCACGACCUGGAGCGCGCAGUUCUGGUAAGUCUUCUUUUUCUUGUAAUUUCCUCUUCGUGGGGGCGCGCCAGCACACCCACUGGGUGUAGCCCCCGAGGUUCGGGCCAACUACGUAGUAGUUGGGUCGAAUCUUUAGAGCGUUGGCCUUGUUCUGACUUCUGCUUUUGUCAGCAUCACUACGCCUUCCGGGUUGCCACCUACAACCGUCUCCUAGGAAAGCACCGGGAGCUCAUGGAGCAGCUCGCCGCCAAGGAGGAGGAGCUCCACGUUGCCGCAGGUAUUCUUGUGCUCUUUUCUAGUGGGGGAGCGCUAGCGCACCCACUAGGUGUAUUCCCCGAGAUUCGGGCCAACUGUGUAACAGUUGGGCCAAAUCUUAAGUCUUGCUUUUUUCUUCUACUAAAUCCUUCUUUUUCGCAGUCGAGGUGAUGUCCUGGCGGACUCGUCGGCUCUGGGCCGGUCAUCACUAUGACCGGCUUGUUGUCGACACCGGCCAUCUUGGCGUCGAGGCGGCGCAGGCGAGCGCGGAGGCGGCCGCGGCCCGGCGGUCUCUCGACAAGGCCAACCGGCUGCAUGAGCAGCUGGCGGGUCACAAGAUCCGCCUUGAGGCCAAGGUGGAGCUCCUUAAGGCGGAAGCCGCCAAGGUGGAGCUCCUUAAGGCGGAAGCCGCCAAGGUGGCGGAAGCGCAGCAGGCCCUGGUGGAGGUGAACCAACAGCGCGGCCAGCUGGCCGACGACAAGGGCCGGCUCCAGGCCGAGGUGGAUCGCCUGCGGGGGCAGGUCACCACGGCUGAGGGGGGCCGCCAGGACGAGGCCCGUCGCCGCGAGGCGGCCGAGAAGGCGGCCGAAGACAAGGACGCCGAGCUGAAGGCGGCCCUUGCCAAGGCAGCCAAUCUGGAGAAGGCGCUCGAGGAGCGCGGCCGCGCCAUUGAACGGGAGCGGCGUGGUACGUUGCUUGAGGCGCAGCACCUGGAAGAUUCCUUCUCCAGUAAGUGCUUUUUCUUGUAGUUUGCCGGGUCGGGACCCGGCCUUUCUUCCUUGUUGUUUUUCUUCUAACUUGCUUCUUCCUUUAUGGCAGGGGCCUUCCCGGAGACGCAGCAGCUGGCGGAGGAAGUCGUCCGCUAUCAGCGCGACCCGACCGGCAUCGUUGGGUCCGGGACGGAUCCGCAGGUGGCCUGGACCUUCCCGGAGAUCAUCGCCGCCGCUGAGGCCCGCCUGCGGGUCCCGGGAACGCAGAUGGAGAGGAUGUCCCAGGCCGGCACCGCGAUGACGGCGGCCCUGUGGCCAGACUCCAUCCAACCGAGCAGCUUCUCGCGCUAGGUGCGUUGGUUGGAGAUGGGGCCGGACCAGCUUGGCGAGUGGCGCGUUUUCGCCGCUCGUGCCGGUGCUGAGAUGGCGCUCCAGUUCGCCUUGUCCUGGCAUCCAGACGUGCAGCUGGACGCGUUGAUGGGCCAGCGGGCCAGUUCGGAGCAGCUCUUGCAGGAGCAAGCCGGCUGGAUCGCCUCCCGGACCAGCUACAUCGCCGAGUUCGCCUUCCACGACGAGUUCCAUCCGGAGCGGACGGAAGACGGCAGGGCCGUGGACGACGACGACUACGGCCUGCUCCUCCAUGAUCCGGAGGGGAGCUCGGAGGAGACGGGCGUCUACCGUGAUGCGGGUGCCGAGGAGGACACCGGCGCCUCGCUGGACCCAGAGGCCGCCAGGGGAGAGACGUCGACAUCACGAUGCAGCGCUGGAGAUUCCUAAGACACUUUGUGUAAAAUCUGUUAAGUAGCAGGUCCACCCACCCACUGGGGGUUUUAGGGUGUAAUGAACUCGGGCCGUGGGCCUUUUCUUAAAUAUUUGUGUAAAUGUCGUGAGUGCUUUUGCUUUUGCCUUCCUUUUUUGGACCGAUUUCAUGCGCUUUUCCUUUCUCAAACCUUCCCCCCCCCCACGAGUCAGACGGCCAAGGCUCUGGUCCGUGACAAGGAGUUCGGUUCUUUGAGAGGAGCGCAUAGGACUUGGGUCCCUUGAAACGUUGAGCGCGAGCGAAACACCCACUGGGCCGGCUAGCGGCAAUCCAGCGAAGCCGGUUGGCGAGCAGCCGGUCGUGCGGCUGUUCAUUUGAUGAAUGGCGGGCCAGGUUGAUCGACCCGGCAGCCUUUGACUUAGUGUAUAAAGCGUAAAGGAGCUUUGGCCCGUUGUGCUUGCCAGCCGACAGCCAAAGCUAGAUCUGUGGCUUUAGGGAGAAGUGGGGGGCCGCGGCAUCCUAACUUUAUCAGGAAUCACCAAGUAAGGCGGCGGGGUGGCGACCGAGCCGGACAGCCCCCGAACCCCUGGGUCGAGCGAGUCGGACCGGUGGCCGGGUUCAGUGGUAUAGUGAUGCAAGAAAAUAGGGACACAAUAAAUUGGUCGACAAAAGGCAGCCCCCGAGUCUCGUUGGGGACCCCAUAGUUUCAUGCGUUUACAAAAGGCGACGAUACAUACACUCGUGCGGCUAACUCUAAAACGGGCGGAGGAGUUCCGCGUUCCACGGCCGGGUCGUUUCUUCACCGGCGGUGUCCUUCUUGCGCUUCCUUGACUUGCGUGCGUCGAUGAGGUAGUAGGCGUUGUGGUCGCGCAAGGCCUUGCUCACGAUGAAUGGGCCCUCCCAUGGAGGGGACAGCUUGUGCUGGCCUGCCUGCUCUUGGACGAGUCGGGGGACGAGGUCGCCCUCAUGGAACGCGAGGGGCUUGAUCUUCUUGCUGUGGUAGUGCCUCAGGCCUUGCUGGUGGAUGGUUGAGCGACUAAGCGCCAGGAGGCAUGCUUCUUCGAGCAGGUCGAUGCCAUCUUCGCGGGCUUCUCUGGCUUCGGCUUCGGUGUACAUCGCGAUGUGCGGCGAGUCGAACUCGAUGUCGGUCGGGAUGACGGCUUCGGCUCCAUAGACGAGGAAGAACGGGGUGAACCCAGUCGACCAAUUCGGCAUGGUGCAUAGACUCAAGAGAACGGACGGCAACUCGUCAAACCAGCUGCCGGGUGAGCGGAUGAGUGGCUUGACGAGUCGCGGCUUGAUGCCAGAUAGGAUGAGUCCAUUGGCCCGCUCGACCUGCCCGUUGGACUGCGGAUGCGCAAUGGAGGCCAGGUCGAGGCGGAUACCGGAGACAGAGCAGUAUUGCUCGAGCACGCCCUUGGCGAAGUUGGUGUCGUGUCGGUGAUCAUGUUGUUCGGCAUGCCGUAGCGCACCGCUAUGUCCUUGAUGAACCGGGCGGCUGUUGGCCCGUCCAGUUUCUUGAUUGGUCUUGCCUCGAUCCACUUGGUGAAUUUGUCCACUGCCACCAGCAGGUGUGUCAUGCCGCCUCGAGCGGUUUUGAAGGGUCCCACCAUGUCGAGUCCCUAGACCGCGAAGGGUCAGGCGAUCGGUAUGGUGCGGAGUGCUGACGCCGACUGGUGGCUGCGUUUGCUGAAGCGCUGGCAUCCCCCACACUUGAGGACGAGCGACUCGGCAUCUUGGAGGGCCAUGGGCCAGUAGAAACCAUGGCGGAACACCUUCGCCACCAGGGAUCAUGAUGCGGUGUGGUGCCCGCACUCGCCCUGAUGUAUGUCAAGGAGGAUGUCGAUGCCCUCUUCCUGCUCGACGCAGCGCUGGAACACGCCGGUGGAGCUGCGCUUGACAAGCUCGUUGUUGAUGAUGCUAUAGGCGGACGCCCGGCGCUGCACUUGCCGAGCUUCGGUCUCGUCCAUGGGGAGAACCCCAUUCUCCAAAAAUUCUGAUAUUGGGAGGGCCCAAGAUGGAGCAGUAACCAUGGAAAAGACGGCCACCAGGGUGGGUUCCGAGUCGGCAGCCCCCGAGCCGGGUUGAGCAGCCCCCGGGUCGGGGAUGGCGACGGCCGGGUCCAAAACGAUUGUGGCCGGGUCGAGCUGAGCAGCCCUCGGGCCGGGUUCAGCAGCCCCCGGGCCGGCUUGAGGUGCGGCCGGGUCGUCUGGAACGUGGAUGGACUCGGAGUCUGGUGAUGGCUUGACGGACGGCUCGCACAGGUGCUCUAGGGAGACGCCGGAUGGGAUGGCUUGUUGUGACGAGGCAAUCUUGGCGAGCGUGUCGGUUGCUUCGUUCUCCACGCACGGGACGUGAAGGAACUCGCAGCCCUCAAAGGAUCCGGACAGCUUCUGGACAAGGAAGCGGUAGCUUGCCAUGUUGGAGUCGCGGGCGUCCCAUUCGCCGGAGCACUACUGCACCACCAGGUCCGAGUCGCCGUAGCACAGGAUGCGCCGGAUGCUGAGUUCCUUGGCAAGCUGGAGGCCGUGCACAAGGGCUUCAUACUCGACGACAUUGUCGGAGGCGGUGAAGUGGAUCUGGAGUGUGUAGCGGAGCCGGUCGCCCUUCGGGGACGAUAGUACAAUGUCGGCCACCAAGCCGAGUCGCAUCUUGGACCCGUCGAAGUGCAUGCGCCAAUGCGUCGAGUCGGGAGGCGGCGGCAAGUACUGGGUCUCAGUCCAGUCGACGAGGAAGUCGGACAGGGCCUGAGACUUGAUCAUGGUGUGGGGCUCGUAGAGGAUGGUGUGGCCGGCUAGCUGGAUCGCCCACUUGGCAACCCGGCCAGAGGCAUCUCAGCACACGAUGAUUUCUCCGAUGGGCGCCAUGCUGACCACGGUGACAAUGUGCUCUUGGAAAUACUGCUUCAGCUUCUUGGCGGUGAAGUACACGCCGUAACACAUCUUCUGGUAGUGCAGGUAGUUCUGCUUGGAGAUGGAGAGCACCUUGCUCAGGUAGUAGACUGGGCGCUUGAUGGCUUGGAUCUUGCCCUUCUCUGGUCGCUCGACCACCAGCACCGUGUUGACCGCCCGCGAGGUCGUGGCUAUGUAGAGCAGCGGUGGCUCCUUGUCGGUCGGCGCGGCCAGGACUGGUGCGAUGGAGAGCAUGCGCUUGAGGUCUUGGAAGGCCUCGUCUGCCUUGUCGUUCCAUUCGAACGGGCUUCUCUUCUUCAUCAGCUGGUACAGGGGUAGUGCCCUCUCGCCCAGCCGGCUUAGAAACUGGCUGACCAAGGCCAAGCAUCCGGUGAACUUCUGGACAUCGCGCACCCGAGCCGGCUUGCGCAUGCGCUCGAUGGCCUUGAUCUUCUCCGGGUUCGCCUCAAUGCCGCGUUCCGAGACGAGGAAGCCGAGUAGCUUUCCGGCCGGGACGCCGAAGACGCAUUUUUUCGGGUUAAGCUUGACCUUGUAUUCGCGGAGGUUGGCGAAUGUUUCCUUCAAAUUGUUGAGGAGCGUGAGGUGCUGCUUGGUCUUCACCAUGAUGUCGUCCACAAACACGUGGAUAUUGCGGCCGAGUUGCGGCAGCAGGCAUUUCUGCAUGCAGUGUUGGAAGGUGGCGUCGGUGUUCUUCAAGCCGAACGACAUGGUGAUGUAGCAAUAUGUCCCAAAGGGCAUGAUGAAGGACGUCUUCAAGGCGUCGGUCGGGUCCAGCUUGCUCUGGUGGUAGCCGGAGUAAGCGUCCAGGAAGGAAAGGAGCUCACACCCGGUGGUCGAGUCGAUGACUUGGUUGAUCCACGGGAGAGCGAAUGGAUCCUUGGGACAGGCCUUGUUGAGGCUGGUGUAGUCGAUACACAUAUGCCAGGUCUUGUUCUUCUUUAGGACGAGGACUGGAUUGGCCAGCCACUCGGGGUGAAACACUUCCAUUAUGAAGCCGGACGCCAAAAGCUUGGCGACCUCUUCACCAAUGGUUCUUCUCUUCUCUUCGGAAAAUCGUCGUAGGGGUUGACAGACAGGCUUGGCGUCCUUGCGGACGUGAAGUUUGUGCUCGGUGUACUUCCUCAGGGUACUCGACAUGUCCUUGGGGGUCCAUGCGAAGAUAUCCCGAUUCUCACGGAGGAAGUCGACGAGCUCGCCUUCCUAUUUGCUGUCGAGGCGAGCGCCUACGACAACGUACUUGCUGCAGCUGGGGUCUUCCGGGUUGAGCUUCACUUUCUUGGUCUCCUUGGAGGGCUUGAAGGCGGCCUCGUCGGCCGGGGCCGGGGUCGGGAUCGACGCAGCGGAGGCCUCGCCUACCAGGGCGAUGAUCCGGUCGAGCUGGUGCCACUCCUCGGCAACGACCAGUGACUCGGCCAACUUGGCGCCGUCUCAGGUGCACUCCAGGGACUUGCGAUAAUCGCCGGUGAUGGUGAUGAGGCCCUUGGGACCCGGCAUCUUCAUCUUCAGAUACGCGUAGUGGGGAACCGCCAUGAACUUGGCGAGCACGGGACGACCCAGCAAUGCGUGAUACGCACUGGACAGGUCCACCACCUCGAACCAGAUCGGUUCGCGUCAGAAGUGGCUACUGUCACCGAACAGGACAUCGAGCCGGACCCGGCCAAUGGGGGAGCAGGAGAGGCCGGGCACGAUGCCGUGGAAGAUUGUUCGGGUCGGCUCCAGGUCCUCGGCCUUGAGGCCGAGCUUGGUCAUCGUGUCGCGGUAGAGGAUGUUGAUGCUGCUGCCGCCGUCGAUGAGGACUCGGGAGAAUUUGCAUGUGCGCCGCACGACGAUGGUGGGGUUGCGGACGAGGGCGUAACCACCCGGACUCGGCAUGACUGUGGUGAUCCUCCCGGGUCCAAGUGAUCGGGCGAUCCGACCAAUGCAUGAACUCCGGCUUGGCUGGGAUGACGGUGUUCACCUCCUGCUGAAGGAGGCGCUCGCUGUGCUUGUCGUCGCCGAGGCUGGUGAAGACGACGUAGGCCGCGUUCUGGUCCGGGUAGGCAUCGUCGUGCAUCGCGCCGCCAGCUGGAGGCGGCGGUGGAGGCGGAGGCGGCUGUCCCGCGCCUGGAGCCGGAGCUAGAGGGGGCGGGACGUUGCCCCUCAUGACACGCUUGGUGAUGGCGCACUGUCGAAGCGUGUGCGUGGAGGGUCUUGCGCCGCUGUGGUGCUUGCAGGGGCGUCAAGCAUCUGCUCGAAGCUCAUGGCGGGUUGCCAUGCCGUCUUGCCGGUUUGCCGGCGCUUCGCCGCCGGGUCCGCCGCGGGCUCGGUGGCCGCGAUGAGCCAGUUGUCGUGAUGCUGCGUCGGCUGGUCGGCCUUGCGCUUGUUGUUCUGGUGAUGCUGCUGCCGGCUGCUUUCGCCGGCCGGCUUCGGAGGGGGAACCGGCUUCGCCUUGCCGGCUUCAUCCAGCGCCACCUGGAUCUUCAUGGCGGAAUCGGCAUUGGCGUACUUGUCCGCCGUCACCAUGAGCGCGGCCAUGGUGGCUGGCUCGGAGCGUAGGAGCUUGUGCUUGAGGAGGGUGUCGUCUCGGCACCCGCUGAUGAAGUAUUGGAUCGCUUGGACUUCAUGGACGCCCUCGCAGCUGUUCCGGAGCUCGGUCCAGCGUGCGAGGUACUCGCGACCGGUCUCCGUAGGCCCUUGCACGCACAUGGCGAGCUGGCUAGGGCGGCCAGGCCGCUUGUAUGUCCCUGUGAAGUUGCAGACGAUGGCUUCCUCGAAGUCCACCCACGUGUUGAUGUUGCCCAUCGGUAGGCCGUUCAACCAUGUGCGGGCCGACCCUUGGAGCAUAAGCGGUGCGUAGCGCACGGCGAGAUGAUAACUAGCACCGGUGAUGCCAAUGGCCGUGGUGUAGUCGAUGAGCCAGUCUUCUGGCUUCACCAUCUCGCUGUACUUGGGGGUGUCACGGGGGAGCAUGAACCCUUUGGGGAAGGGCUCCUCCCGGAUGCGUGGGCCGAAGCACGCUGGCCCGAUAGCGCCGCUCUCCUCCACCUCCAGGGAGUGAGCGAGCUGGUCGAGGCGGUGGCGAGCAUCGGCGUCGUCGAUGGCGCGCGGGCCAAGUCGACUUGCGGCAGGCCACGGGGGGCCGGGUCGGUUGGAGCUGAACGCCAGCCAUGCUGGUCGGGUCCGCGCUAGAUCUCAGGGGCGGGCUCCUCUCCCAAUCCGCCGGCGGCUGUAGCGGCCGGGUCACGCCAAGUACGGGCUCAACCGGAGUGCGCCUCACCGGGUGGCGAGGAAGCGGUGUGCAGAAGCUCACCGGGUCCGCCAAGGCGGGCGGAGCCGGAUCUCGCUGGCUUGGCGAGAUGGUUGAGGCGGUCCUGCUGGGUGUUGGCGGUGUGGAGGAGCUCGCGCAUCCGCCUGAUGCGCUCUUUCAGCUCCUCACUCGUGAUCUGGUCGAGGCCGGCUGUGGCUGCCUGGGCAGCACGCAUGUUCUUCGCUGGGGUCUCAUAGACGGUUGGGACGGCGCCAAGGGCCCAACCGAUCGCUCCUCCCCGGGCACGCACGUCGGUGGCCCGGCUUGGCUCGGUCGCGGCGGGCGUGAAUCCGUAGGCGACAUUGCGCUCCAGCUGAGCGGCGUCCAGGCAAUGCUGAGUGGCGGCGAGCGUCUCGAACAGGUCCAUCAUCUGUUGGCGCCUUUCCUCGAGCUGGGUUUGGGCCUCAGCAACGUUGGUGGUGUCGAUGUCGAUGUCGAUGGGGAUGCGGAGGCUCUGCAUCAUGACGCGCAACGGAUCGGACGGCUCGGUCCGUUCCACUACGGCCCUGGCUUCGAUAGCCUUCCUCGUCUUGCUCGACGAGGAGGAGGCGCCAUCGUGGUGGGUGCACGGCAGAUGCCAAGGGAUGGCUAAAGAGAGGAGGAGGCUCGAGGGCGCUGGUGGACUCCAGAGGCGAGGUUGGCAUGAGCGGGCGCGGGACGCCGGACAUACCCAGGUUCGGGGCUCUCCAGAGAGAUGAUACCCCUAGUCCUGCCGAGUGUAGUUGGAUUAUCGAUAGUACAAUGUUGCUCCUGGAGCUGUAUGGAGGAGGAAGGAAGCUGGCCAAGGCUUGGGCUGCUCCUUCUCUCCGGUGUUGCUGUUUGGUGGCUAGUCCUAUGCUUACUUGCUUUCCUCCUUUAUCUGUUGCUUGCCUUGCUUGCCCGUAUUAUCGUGGGCUCCUGGGGGGUUUUACAGACCAACCCCUCGGGGGUACAAUGGUAAUAUUACAAGUUGGUGGGUCUGUAUUGUCGGUGUCCGGGGACCCGGGCUGGGUCCCGCUGAGGGCUUGUGGUUCGCCGGGUUCCCCUAGGUGCGGGCCCUGCGUGCCUAGGGGGACUGUGCGCCGUCUUGUCGAUCGUCAGGGCGUGGCCGAGUCGAGUCGCGUAUAGUGCUCUCCGUCAGGUUGCCACUUGCUGUCGUCAGCGGUGAGGGCGGGGGCACUGUAGCCGCGCUGGCCCUGGUCAGCGGGUAGGUGAGGGGCACUGUUGCCACGUUCCCGCUGACCAGAGGCAUGGGCGGGGCACUGUUGCCUCGGUCAUCGUUGAUUGAAGACUGGUCCCCAUCAUACGGCAUGGAUGGAACAGGAGCUGACCCGUGGCUGGAUUGCGUAGCACGCCACGGGUGGCGCUGGCUUGUCAAGGAAGCUUCGGUCGUGUCGGGUUCGGCUGUCUUGCUCUAGUCGUUGGGGCCGAGUCGACGUGUCUUGCCGGGUCGGCGAGUCUGGCCGGCUUGCGGGGCUUGGCCGGGUUGAGCAACCCGGCCAAGCGCGUGCCGGUUUUGAGGGGUGGUGCCAGCCCCGUUGUUUUUGAAGAGGAUCCAGGUUUCGUAGCCUGCCCGGGGUCCAUCCCCCUGACAAGACCGUUCCCUAGUAAUUCCUAUAAUAAUUAUCGAAAUUCCUACAAUAAUUCUUAUGGCAAUUUUAAUAAGAUGCCCUCUGAUUUUGAGAAUAGUGUGAAGGAAUUUAUGAUUUCUCAAAAGAAUUUUAAUGCUUUGCUUGAAGAAAAAUUGCUCAAAGUUGAUGAUUUGGCUAGGAAUGUGGAUAGACUUUCGCUUGAUGUUGAUUCUCUUAAACUUAGAUCUACUCCUCCUAAGCAUGAUAUCAAUGAGUCUCUCAAAGCAAUGAGUAUUUCCAUUGAUGAGUGCAAGGAAAGAAACGCUAGAUUGCGUGAUAAGAAAGAUUUCUUUGUAAAGGCGUGUUCUUCUAGUUUCCAUGAAAAUAAUGAUGAAGAUCUUAAAGUUAUUGAUGUGUCUCCAAUUAGAUAUUUGUUUUGCAAUAUGAAUCUUGAUAAUAAUGGGACUGGAGAUGAGUCAACUUUAUUUAGAAGGCGUCCCAAGAAUUCGGAGUUUUUAGAUCUUGAUGCUAAAUUUGGUAAAAGUGGGAUUGGAGAGGUCAUGACUUUAAAUAGUAUUGAACCCACUAUCUUGGAUUUCAAGGAAUUUGAUUAUGAUAAUUGUUCUUUAGAAAGUUGUAUUUCCUUGUUGCAAUCCGUUGUUAAUUCUCCUCAUACUUAUAGUCAAAAUAAAGCUUUUACCAAACAUAUUGUUGAUGCCUUGAUGCAAUCUUAUGAUGAAAAACAUAAUUUGAAAGUUUCUAUACCUAGAAAACUUAAUGAUGAGUGGGAACCUACUAUAAAGAUUAAAAUUAAAGAUCAUGAGUGUUUUGCUUUGUGUGAUUUGGGUGCUAAUGUUUCCACGAUUCCGAAAACUUUAUGUGAUAUUCUAGGUUUCCAUGAUCUUGAUGAUUUCUCUUUGAAUUUGCACCUUGCGGAUUCCACCAUUAAAAAGGCAAUGGGAAGGAUCAAUGAUGUUCUCAUUGUUGCAAAUAGAAAUUUGGUGCCCGUAGAUUUUAUCGUUCUUGAUAUAGAUUGCAAUCUUUCUUGCCCUAUUAUUCUUGGUAGACCUUUCCUUAGAACGAUUGGUGCGAUUAUUGAUAUGAAGGAAGGGAAUAUUAGAUUUCAAUUUCUAUUAAGGAAAGGCAUGGAGCACUUUCCAAGAAAGAAAGUCAAAUUACCUUAUGAAUCUAUCAUGCGAGCUACUUAUGAAUUGAGUGCCAAAGAUGGCACUACUUAGAUCUAUCUUCGCUUUUAUGCCUAGCUAGGGGCGUUAAACGAUAGCGCUAGUUGGGAAGCAACCCAAUUUUAUUUGUGUUUUUUGUCUUUCUUUCUGUUUAGUAAUAAAUUUUGCAUCUACCUUCUGUUUAGAUGUGUUUUUAUGUUUUAAUUAGUGUUUGUGCCAAGUAGAACCUAUAGGAUAACCUAUGAUGAUAGUUGAUUUGAUUCUGCUGAAAAACAGAAACUUUGCACGCACGAAAUUAGUUUUGUUAAAUCACAGAAACGUGUUUUUGGAUUGAUUCUUUUUUAUGCUGAUCAAUGGACAAAUUUUCCAGAACUUCCUAUUUUGGUACGAUAUUUAAAGUUCCAUAAGUUUGCGUUAGUUACAGAUUGUUACAGACUGUCCUGUUUUUGACAGAUUCUGUUUUUCGUGUGUUGUUUGCUUAUUUUGAUGCAUCUAUGGCUAGUAUUAAGUGGUAUGAACCAUGGAGAACUUGGAAUACAGUAGGUUUAACACAAAAAUAAAUAAAUAAUGAGUUCAUUACAGUACCUUAUGUGGUGGUUUUGUUUUCUUUCACUAACGGAGCUUAUAAGAUUUCCUGUUGAGUUUUAUGUUGUGAAGUUUUCAAGUUUUGGGUAAAGAUUUGAUGGAAUAUGGAAUAAGAAGUGGCAAAAGCCUAAGCUUGGGGAUGCCCAUGGCACCCCAAUAUAUUCAAGAAUAUCCAAAAGCCUAAGCUUGGGGAUGCCCCGGGAAGGCAUCCCCUCUUUCGUCUUCGUUCAUCGGUAACUUUACUUGGAGCUAUAUUUUUAUUCGCCACAUGAUAUGUGUUUUGCUUGGAGCGUCAUGUAUGAUAUUAGUCUUUGCUUUUUAGUUUACCACAAUCAUCAUUGCGGUACACACCUUUUGGAAGAACCCCACUUGAUUAGAAUUUGCUAGAAUACUCUAUGUGUUUCACUUAUAACUUUUGAGCUUGAUAGUUUUUGCUCUAGAACUUCACUUAGAUCUUUUAGAGCACGGCGGUGGCUUAAUUUUUAAGAAAUUGCUAGUCUCUCAUGCUUCACUUAUAUUAUUUUGAGAGUCCUUUAGAACAGCAUGGUAUUUGCUAUGGUUAUAAAUUGGUCCUAGAAUGGUGAGCAUUCAAGUUGGGUAUAAUAAAAACUAUCAUAUAAAGUGCAUAAAACACUAGGAUCAAUUUGAUGCUUGAUGAUUGUUUUGAGAUAUAGAGGUAGUAAUGUUAGAGUCAUGCUAGUGGGUAAUUAUGAAAUUUAGAAAUACUUGUGUUGAAGUUGGCAAGUCCCUUAGCAUGCACGUAUGGUAAAAGUUGUGUGACAAAUUUGUUGCAUGAGGUGCUCUUUUAAUUGCCUUCCUUAUGAGUGAAGGUCGGGAUCGCACGAUGGUUAACUCCUACCAACCCUUCCCCUAGGAGCAUGUGUAGUAGUACUUUGCUUCGAGGGCAAGUAGACUUUUGCAAUAAGUAUAUGAGUUAUUUAUGACUAAUGUGAGUCCAUGGAUAUACGCACACUCAUCCUUCCACUUUGCUAGCCUCUAUUAUACCGCGCAACUUUCGCCGGUAUCAUGCACCCAUUAUUUACCUUCCUCAAAACAGUCACCAUACCUACCUAUUAUGACAUUUCCAUAGCCAUUCCGAGAUAUAUUGCCAUGCAACUUUCCACCGUUCCAUUUAUUAUGGCACACUUCAUCAUUGUCAUAUUGCUCUUUGCAUGAUCAUGUAGUUGACAUCGUAUUUGUGGCUAAGCCACCUUUCAUAAUUUUCAUAUAUGUCGCUCUUGAUUCAUUGCAUAUCCUGGUACACCGCCGGAGGCAUUCAUAUAGAGUCAUAUCUUGUUCUAGUUUUGAGUUGUAAUUCUUGAGUUGUAAAUCAAUAAAAGUGUGAUGAUCUUCAUUAUUAGAGCAUUGUCCCAAUGAGGAAAGGAUGAUGAAGACUAUGAUUCCCCCACAAGUCGGGAUGAGACUUCGGACAUUAAAAAGAAAAAAGGGAAGAAAAAAAAGAAAGGCCAAAAAAAGGAGAAAGGCCAAAUAAAAAAAGAAAGAAAGAAAAAAGAAGAAGAAAAAAUAAUAAUGAGAGAAAAAGAGAGAAGGGACAAUGCUACUAUCUCUUUUUCCACACUUAUGCUUCAAAGUAGCACCAUGAUCUUCAUGAUAGAGAGUCUCCUAUGUUGUCACUUUCAUAUACUAAGUGGGAAUUUUUCAUUAUAGAACUUGGCUUGUAUAUUCCAAUGAUGGGCUUCCUCAAAAUGUCCUAGGUCUUCGUGAGCAAGCAAGUUGGAUGCACACCCACUUAGUUUCUUUUGUUGAGCUUUCAUAUAUUUAUAGCUCUAGUGCAUCCAUUGCAUGGCAAUCCCUACUCACUCACAUUGAUAUCUAUUGAUGGGCAUCUCCAUAGCCCGUUAAUACACCUAGUUGAUGUGAGAUUAUCUUCUCCCUUUUUGUCCUCACAACCACCACCAUAUACCACCAUAGUGUUAUGUCCAUGGCUCGCGCUCAUGUAUUGCGUAAGAGUUGAAAAAGCUGAAGCGCGUUAAAAAGUAUGAAAUAAUUGCUUGGCUGAAACCAGGGUUGUGCAUGAUGGGAGUAUUUUGUGUAAUGAAAAUGAAGCAUGGCCUAACUAUAUGAUUUUGUAGGGAUAAGCUUUCUUUGGCUAUGCUAUUUUGAUAGGACAUGAUUAUUUGUUAGUAUGCUUCGAAGUAUUAUUAUUUUUAUGUUUUAUAAGCUUCUAUCUUGAAUCAUUUGGAUCUUAACAAUCAUGCCACAAUAAAGAAAAUUACAUUGAGAAUUAUGCUAGGUAGCAUUCCACAUCAAAAAUUCUGUUUUUAUCAUUUACCUACUCGAGGACGAGCAUUAAUUAAGCUUGGGGAUGCUUGAUACGUCUCCAACGUAUCUAUAAUUUUUGAUUGUUCCAUGCUAUUAUAUUACCCCUUUUGAAUGUUUAUGGGCUUUAUUUUACACAUUUAUAUCAUUUUUGGGACUAACCUACUAACCGGAGGCCCAGCCCGUAUUGCUGUUUUUUUUUGCCUAUCUCAGUAUCUCGAAGAAAAGGAAUAUCAAACGGAGUCCAAACGGAAUGAAACCUUCGGGAGCGUGAUUUUUGGAACGAACGUGAUCCAGAGGACUUGGAAUGCAAGUCAAGAAGCAAUCAAGGCGGCCAGGAGAUAGGAGGGCACGCCCACCCCUCCUGGGCGCGCACCCUGUCUCCUGGGCCCCUCGAGCGGCCACUGACGUACUUCUUCCUCCUAUAUAUACCUACAUACCCCAAAAACAUCCAGGGAGCCAAUGAAAAACAAUUUCCACCGCUGUAACCUUCUGUAUCCGCGAGAUCCCAUCUUGGAGCCUUCGUCGGUGCUCCGCCGGAGGGGGAAUCGACCACGGAGGGCUUCUACAUCAACACCAUAGCCCCUCCGAUGAGUUGUGAGUAGUUUACCACAGACCUUCGGGUCCAUAGUUAUUAGCUAGAUGACUUCUUCUCUCUUUUUGGAUCUCAAUACCAUGUUCUCCCCCUCUCUUGUGGAGAUCUAUUCGAUGUAACUUUUUUCGGUGUGUUUGUCGAGAUCCAAUGAAUUGUGGGUUUAUGAUCAAGUUUAUCUAUGAGAAAUAUUUGAAUCUUCUCUGAAUUCUUUUAUGUAUGAUUGAGUUAUCUUUGCAAGUCUCUUCGAAUUAUCAGUUUGGUUUGGCCUACUAGAUUGAUCUUUCUUGCCAUGGGAGAAGUGCUUAGCUUUGGGUUCAAUCUCGCGGUGUCCUUACCCAGUGACAGAAAGGGUUGCAAUGCACGUAUUGUAUUGUUGCCAUCGAGGACAAAAAAGAUGGGGUUUAUAUCAUAUUGCUUGAGUUUAUCCCUCUACAUCAUGUCAUCUUUCUUAAUGCGUUACUCUAUUCUUAUGAACUUAAUACUCUAGAUGCAUGCUGGAUAGCGGUCGAUGUGUGGAGUAAUAGUAGUAGAUGCAGGCAGGAGUCGGUCUACUUGUCACGGACGUGAUGCCUAUAUACAUGAUCAUGCCUCGAUAAUCUCAUAAUUAUUCACUUUUCUAUCAAUUGCUCGAAAGUAAUUUGUUCACCCACCGUAAUACUUACGCUAUCUUGAGAGAAGCCCCUAGUGAAACCUAUGGCCCCUGGGUCUAUCUUUUAUCAUAUAAGCUUUCAAUCUACUUUUAUUUGCAUCUUUACUUUUUGCAUCUAUAUUAUAAAAUACCAAAAAUAUAUUUAUCUUAUCAUACUAUCUCUAUCAGAUCUCACUUUCGCAAGUGGUCGUGAAGGGAUUGACAACCCCUUUAUUGCGUUGGUUUCGAAUUCUUUGUUUGUUUGUGUAGGUGCAUGGAACUUUUGAGGACCUCCUACUGGAUUGAUACCUUGGUUCUCAAAAACUGAGGGAAAUACUUACGCUACUUUGCUGCAUCACCCUUUCCUCUUCAAGGAAAACCAACGCAAGCUCAAGACGUAGCAGCUGCCAAGGUGCCGGCCGGUGUAUUCUUUCCACACCCGGGUGCAUUAAGCUCCAAUGCCGGCGCCGGCACUGGAGACACCAAUGCCGCCUCCGCCGGAGACAUCAAUGGCACUGACGCGUUGUGCGAGUUGUUGCCCGUGAAGCUGGGAAUCGGGGGCGGCCCCUGUUGGCCGCCCACAAUCCACGCUUGUAGCCCCUCAAGCAAUGUAGGCAUAAUGGCGGUGAUCGUCGCUCCCAAUUGGUCUCGCACUUGCUCUUGGACUAUCUCCGAAAUCUGCGCCACUUGUGCCUUGAGUUCUUUAACCUCGCGCUCCUGGCUUUCCGAGCUGGUCUUUCUCUCCUUUUGCCCAGCCUUAUAGUAUUCCGACCAUUUCGUGGACAAGCCUUUGCCGGCCACACGACCAGCUGACGACGUCUUACUGAACUUAUCCUUAUUUUUCACUAUGUUCAACGCCCUAUUUAAAGUGGUAUCCCAAGGUGCAGACGGGGAGCUCUGAGACCCCGCGCUACUGCUUUCAGUUUCCUGCGGAAGGAACGUGAACCAUUUAGAAAUUUGGCUUCAUUAAUUAGAAUGCAACCAUAUGGAGCUAAUUACGCAAGGGUGUAUUCCUUACCACAACAAGCUCAAACGCCUUGGUCUUCGGAUCCGUGGUAAGCUCCUUUGUUACCGGGUCCACCUUGUACCGGGCCCUGACAUAGUUCUUGGUCUGCUUGUCACGGUAUUUAUCAAACAGGGGCGGUAGGCCUUGCUCGGCACGCUCCGCGUCCUCCUUGUCCCUUAUAGGUUCCGCUACUCUGUAACCACCGGGACCGAGUGUGUGUUGUCCUAAGUUCAAGUCCCGCAUAUCUUUCCCCCACUGACUUGAUUCCGCGGAUGCGUUGCUCUCGCACUUGAUCUUGAACUCCAGGUAGUCAGCUUUGCUAAUCUAAGGAUUUGUUUCCUUGAUCUUCUCAUAACUAUCACCACUUAGAAUCAUUCUCUUCACCAUGGCUCUCCAAGUAGCCAGGGACGUUCUCAUCUUUGUGAUGGCAGCACUGUUCACUUUAUUCCCUGAGAGGCAUGUGUUUGCGAAGUCACCGGGGAACUUGUAUCGUUCGUGCAGCUUCAUGAAGAGGAGGUUGCGCAAAUUCCCUUGGUCACGAUGCCUUAGGUUCUCAGUGUUGAUCGAGACGGUGCUCCAGAGAAUGCACCCAAGUUGUCAUGCGUACCCACUGACUAAUUCUUUGAGUGCCGUUAAAUGCCCACUGGAGGACACUUCAGUAAAUUCCUCCUUGAAGGUGUCGAGCAUGUUCGGGCGCCGGUCCUUCCGUUGCCUCUUCGGUUGGCUGCCAUCUGUGCGUUCGCUGCCAUCAUCAGUGGUGGCAUCCCCGGCGGCACCAUCAGUGGUGUCAUCCCCGACGCCACUAGGGGUUGUGUAGUCGGGAUCGGUGUCUUUCGCGGCGUCCUCAUAGAGGUGAGGUUCUUCCUCCAUCUCCUGGGACAGCUGCCAGAAUGGCUUGCCCGAACCGCCGGCCUCAUCGUUGUCGGCCAUGUUCGCUCUAAAUAGGGAAAAAGGCUACUAGAGUUAUUGGAUAAGAUCAGGGUGGUAUCUAUUCUUCUCAGAUUUAGAGGAAUAUUUCCGUUUCGUUGAGAAUCAGACACCUUCUAGGUCAAGAAAAUUGGGCAUGACCUUUGCUAAUUUUCUUGACCAAGGAGUGCCCCAUUCUCAACCGAAACGGAAAUUAAUCAACAUUUCAGGAGAAAGGGGUCAUUUCACAUCAGAAGCUGCCAGCAUUUCAUAAGAUAAUUUUAUACACCAUAGAAGCUGCCAGCAUAUAGAAGCCCACAACCAUCAGAUAGAUGGUUUGGGCUGGACAUCAUGGUCCUGGUGAGUGGUGACAGACAAUUGUGCAGGUUCAAGCCCCACUUCAGGACACUAUGAAUCCAUUUCUAUGAAACAACAGUAGAAACAACUACAGAAAAAAGUGGCAGCAGCAUCACAAGUUUGGGAUCUAUAGUAGCAGCAGCAUCACAAUAUUGGGAUCUUGCCACUGCCCAAAAAAUAGGUGCAGUAGGCAGGAUUACAUACAUAAAACAGAGCACACUCUCUGUAAUUCUCUGACCUUAUAGCUGCUUCUCCUUAGUCUUCUGGAUCUUCAAAACCUUCUUCAUAAUCUAGGCCUUAGAUGAGGUAUCUACAACAAGUAAAACAAAUAUUGUUACAGCUUACAAUGUCAAACCACUAAUAUUAUUCAACAUGAAGAAAACUUAACCAUCCAUUAAAUAGAUUGAACAAAUAUUUUAUAUGCACAGAGAGAAGGGCAACAUAGCAUAUGCCAUGAAGUUUGGAUAUCUCCUUGAGUAGGCCAAAUAGCAGUAACAAGUAAACUAUGACAAAGGAGAAAAGAAAGUACUACCAGCAGGUUUGAUGUGAAACUUAGAACAGGGGAUGUUUGGUUCAAAUAGUAAGGUAAGGUUGCCAAAAAAUCUUGUCCAACUUGCACAACAAUGAGUAACUGCAGCAAGACAUAGCAGCACAUAUAUGAAAUAAUUCAGAAUUUGCUCCAUUUUUUAACUUGAUUGCAAAAGGCAAUCAACAUGCUCUGCAUUACAAGUAAUGGUUUCCAGCCAAUUAGUUUGUCUUAAAACCUCAACAACAAAUGAUUCAGUUCAAAGAAGGUUUAAAUAAUUGCCCAAAACAACUAUACGGCUUUAAUUUUUUUGCCAAGUACUCCCUCAAUCUGAAACAAUUAACGCACAAACGGAUGUAAGUACUCCCUCAAUCUGAAACAAUUAACGCACAAACGGAUGUAACCAUGAACAGUACUCCCUAGCUAUGUUCUCAACUGAAGGCACAUCAAAGGAAUAAAGAAGGCACAUGGACAACUGUUGGUUGGGACAAUCAACCAUCAGUCCUUUUUGCUUGUCAAACAAAUAUUACUCCCUCUAUCCCAUAAUAUAAGAGUAUUACCGGACGGAGGGUAGAUAUGAUAUAACUCUGUAGGCAAGCACAAAGAGACCAUAUUCUUUAAACUUGUCGAUUCAGAUGCAAUAACACUAUACUUGUGAGCACAUAUAAAAAAUACAGAGAUCUGCUCCAAGGACAUAGAUGUGCAUUCUUAUCUCUGUGAUUCAAACAUAUAAAUAUUCACAAUAAAGGACAACAAAAUUAAAAAAUAAAAGGAAGGGAUAGAAAAAUAAAGAGUGGACGAGCUCACUGGAGUCUCCUGGGCACACUACAACAAUAGUUGUUAUACUAACGAACAAACAUUGCCUAGAGUAUAUCAGGUGUUUGCAUCUGUCACAAAAUGCUAUCUAAAACAGUCUGAACCUGAAAGUGUGUGGUUGCACAUACAAUAGCUAGUAGGCACUACUUGAACUGGAAACUAAACCUACAGUUGCAUGCUCUCUAAUUCAGAGUAGGAUGGUUCGAUUCUUGUAAUUCAAACAACACAUCAUGUCAAAGCUAUUAGAAACAGGGGCACAUGUCUGGUUUAAAGUUGUACAACCAACUAUCAUUAGUCACAGAUUCUACGGACGAGCAGGCAACCGCGAGCGGCUAUAGGCGCGCGCGCGGAUGAUGCGGGUGAGCGGCAGGAUGCAUGCAGACGGCGCGGUGGCGGCAAGGACCAGCCAGGCGAGGCGAGGCAGUACACGCCCCGGAGAAUCGAGCUCCUUGCCAUGGCGGCCGAGCGCCGGGUCGGCUAAACAGCGAUGGAUCGAGGCAGAGGAAGGGGGGAACGGGGAGAGGAGUUCACCGCGGUUCUGGGGAUGAGCUCGAGGAGGACGGGGGUGCAGUGAAGACGACAAAUCCGUCGAUGGCGUCGCGGUGGCCGGAGGUAGAGGAUGAGGUGGUCGAUGGCGACGUUGCGGCGGCUCCUCAGCCUUGGCCCAGGGACGACGACGAUGAAGAGGAACACUGGGCGGCGGCGCAGUGGGUCUGGGAGACGGCGCAGGUAGGGGUGGCGGCGCAGUGGGUCGGGGCGGCGGCGCAGGUCGGGAGCAGGUCGAGGGCUCGGGGGCGGCAGUGGGGAUUGGGGAUUUGGGAUCGACGUUUUUUUUUAUCUUUGCCUUUUUUUAGUGGGGGGUAGCAAUGCGC